GACGUAGGGCGCGAGCGUUGUCCGGAUUUAUUGGGCGUAAAGAGCUCGUAGGCGGCUUGUCGCGUCGAAUGUGAAAUCUCAGGGCUCAACUCUGACAUUGCAUUCGAUACGGGCAGGCUAGAGUUCGGUAGGGGAGACUGGAAUUCCUGGUGUAGCGGUGAAAUGCGCAGAUAUCAGGAGGAACACCGGUGGCGAAGGCGGCUUCCUGGUCUGCGACUGACGCUGAGGUGCGAAAGCGUGGGGAGCAAACAGG
rnacentral:rRNA from 1 species